rnacentral:rRNA from 1 species
GGCGUCAGGACGAACGCUGGCGGCGUGCCUAAUACAUGCAAGUCGAACGGCUUUCUAUGGAAGCUUGCUUCCACUGAGAAGAUAGUGGCGAACGGGUGAGGUAACACGUGGGGUAACCUGCCCAUAAGAGGGGGAUAACAUCCGGAAACGGGUGCUAAUACCGCAUAGUUUUCUUGGUCGCAUGAUCGGGAAAGGAAAGACGGCCUUUGUGCUGUCGCUUAUGGAUGGACCCGCGGCGUAUUAGUUAGUUGGUGAGGUAACGGCUCACCAAGGCGACGAUGCGUAGCCGACCUGAGAGGGUGAUCGGCCACAUUGGGACUGAGACACGGCCCAGACUCCUACGGGAGGCAGCAGUGGGGAAUAUUGCACAAUGGGGGAAACCCUGAUGCAAGCAACGCCGCGUGAGUGAUGACGGCCUUCGGGUUGUAAAGCUCUGUCUUCAGGGACGAUAAUGACGGUACCUGAGGAGGAAGCCACGGCUAACUACGUGCCAGCCGCUGC